rnacentral:rRNA from 1 species
GUCCGGAAUUAUUGGGCGUAAAGAGCUCGUAGGCGGUGUGUCACGUCGGCCGUGAAAACCUGCAGCUUAACUGUGGGCGUGCGGUCGAUACGGGCAUCACUGGAGUUCGGCAGGGGAGACUGGAAUUCCUGGUGUAGCGGUGAAAUGCGCAGAUAUCAGGAGGAACACCGGUGGCGAAGGCGGGUCUCUGGGCCGAUACUGACGCUGAGGAGCGAAAGCGUGGGGAGCAAACAGG